rnacentral:rRNA from 1 species
CUGGCUCAGGACGAACGCUGGCGGCGUGCCUAACACAUGCAAGUCGGACGGGGUAUUUAAGAGGAAUCUUUCGGGAGGAAUCUUAAAUACCUAGUGGCGGACGGGUGAGUAACGCGUGAGCAACCUACCCAUAAGUGGGGGAUAACACUGGGAAACUGGUGCUAAUACCGCAUAAGCUGUGUUCACCGCAUGGGGGACACAGUAAAGAUGGCCUAUAGGGGCUAUCGCUUAUGGAUGGGCUCGCGUCUGAUUAGCUAGUUGGUGGGGUAACGGCCUACCAAGGCGACGAUCAGUAGCCGGCCUGAGAGGGUGGACGG